GAAAAGUUCUCCAAACAUCAUUUAUAGCUAUAGCUACUUCUCCCCAUUUUUAGCCAAAAGAGACCAAAGAGACAAAAUAAAUGUCUAUUUAGUCAUUAACCAAAAUAUCAAAAGUUAAAGGGUUACAAAACCAAGUGCAUAACCAACUGUAAGCAAGCUGAGAUACGAACCAACCAAACAGCAAAACAACAAAACAGAAUUGCCGAAAACAAGAAAAU
rnacentral:lncRNA from 1 species